GUGAACGGCCACAUUGGGACUGAGACACGGCCCAAACUCCUACGGGAGGCAGCAGUGGGGAAUAUUGCACAAUGGGGGAAACCCUGAUGCAGCGACGCCGCGUGAGUGAGGAAGUAUUUCGGUAUGUAAAGCUCUAUCAGCAGGGAAGAAAAUGACGGUACCUGACUAAGAAGCCCCGGCUAACUACGUGCCAGCAGCCGCGGUAAUACGUAGGGGGCAAGCGUUAUCCGGAUUUACUGGGUGUAAAGGGAGCGUAGACGGCAUGGCAAGUCUGAAGUGAAAUGCGGGGGCUCAACCCCUGAACUGCUUUGGAAACUGUCAGGCUGGAGUGCAGGAGAGGUAAGUGGAAUUCCUAGUGUAGCGGUGAAAUGCGUAGAUAUUAGGAGGAACACCAGUGGCGAAGGCGGCUUACUGGACUGUAACUGACGUUGAGGCUCGAAAGCGUGGGGAGCAAACAGGAUUAGAUACCCUGGUAGUCCACGCCGUAAACGAUGAUUACUAGGUGUUGGGGAUUUAUAAAUCCUCGGUGCCGUCGCAAACGCAAUAAGUAAUCCACCUGGGGAGUACGUUCGCAAGAAUGCAACUCAAA
rnacentral:rRNA from 1 species